AUUGACUGGUUCCCAGUCGCACACUGGUUUCUGGUUAAUAAAACAUGAACAAACCAAAAUGAAGGAGUUUAUUGUUUCUGUGAUAUCUUUCGUUGCAUCUUUAUUUUUCGUGAUCCUGUUUAUAGCUUUUGGCUGGUUCGUGAUAUGGAAGUUGUUCCUGAGUAAAUUCAAGUUUGUUAAAGAGCUCCUAGGCACGAAUGAAUCAGACACAGACCUCGGGACAGAGCGGCCUAGACGAAGUCGAGUAAAACUGAGAAAGACAGAUUGAAUUGUUAAAUAAAACUGACAUUAGACUAUUGUUUCAUGAGUGCGUGUUAUAUGGGUAACUGGAUGUCAAGCUUUAAAAGGGCCUGGUCGUUAAAAGAGGUCACAUUUUCCAUAAAAUAAGUGAAUCUGCUUGGUUCAAGUGUGUUUAAAUUGGAACUUAUGAAGAGCAUGAUGGAUAAACAUUGUACUUGUUGUGAACAUUAUAAGGGUUUAAAAAGAACAACUCAGGGAUUUUGCUUCUGUGUGCCACGGAGCCUGUGCAUUAUAUUGUAAUUACCCCUUUCAGUGCGGGAACCGAAUUUUGAAGGCCUUUGCAAACAGUUUGGAUCCAGAUGAGACGCCACAGAACGUGGCGUCUCAUCAGGAUCCAAACUGUUUGCUUUUCUGAUAGUAUUCUGUGAAAAAAAUCGAAGAAAAUGCUAAUUUUAGAAAUUCAGCAGACGACAUUUUAGCAGACGACAAAUUUCCCAGCAUGCAAAGGGUUACUUAACUGAGGGAUGUAAAAGACUGUUGUAACUAUUUGCUUUAAAUUUAUUUCAAAAUGUUGUAUACUCAAUAUGUUCGGUUGUAAUGAAAAUGCCAAAUUGUUUUGAAGUUUUGUUCCCUUUGCUUUAAAUAGAUUGCAAGUGAUUAGGAAUAUACAUAUUGUAUACAGGUCUUUUGUUAUUGAGAUAUUAUUUGUUUGAUCAUUAACGUUAUAAUCUAAAGAGUUCUGUUUUAUUCAAUAUUGAUUUCUUAUGACAAAUGUAUAAGUCCUGAUAUGUUUACUUGUCUCUAUUAUUUUAGUAUUGAAAUACAUUUAAGGUUGAUUUCUUAGGAAUGUCUGCAAAAAUACAUAAUUGUAAAUCAUGAUUUGACCACUUUAUCGUACUUUUUAUCAACUGUGAAAACAUUAUAAUAUUCUGAAUAUUAGCAUUUAUUUAUAAUAAUCUAAACAAUCAUGUUUUUUUCUCAGUGCAGUUUGCUGUAAAAUGUUGUGCACUUAGAGUGAGACAUUUAUGCUUUUAAUUUUAAUUCUCAACACCUGUAAAGAUGGUCAAAUUAGGAAUUAGCAAUUAAAAGAGACAAGUUUAUUUACAGUUAAGGUGUAAGGAUCUUAUGUUACCUUCAAGAAGAUUGUGUUUGAUUUUAUGAAAACAGGUUAAAAUAUAGCACUUUCGUUUCUGUUUUAAUUUACUGGUGUAAGGAUGUUCAAAAUAUCAAUGCUUUACAUGAUGAUGAAGAUAUAUGUUUUGCCUUCGUAAGCUUGAGUAGCAACUUUGAGGGUCAUCUAUGGAGUAUUUUGUACAGGCACGAAUUCUAGUCACAAAUCUGAAGCUGAGCUCUUGUGAUCACACUAUGUGCAUGUCUGACUUCUGUCAUCAUGCGGUGUGCCAAUAGCCCAUGUGUAGUUCUGGUCAUCAAAUUUUAAGUUCUAAACACUCGUGACAUUUUUCAUCCAAAAUUGAUUAAACUUGUAAGAAUGUUUAUCUUGACAAAUUCUUAAUGGGGUUUAAAUUUGGGUCACAUGCCUAAAAAAACAAGGUCAGCAGGUCAAAUCGUAACAAAACCCUUAUAUAGGCUUCAUUUAUGACUAUAUCUUGAUGAUACUUUUCAGACAUUUUCUAGACUGGGUUAGAAUCUGGGCCAAGUGCGUUCAAAAACCAGGUCACCGGGUCAAAUCUUAGAAAAACGUUGUGAUCACUCUAAAGGCCACAUUUAGGACCCAAUCUUGAUGAAACUAAGUAAGAAAUGUCAAUCUUGACAAUAUGUAAGCCGAGUUCCAAUUUAGGUCUAAAGCGUCCAAAAACAAGGUAACAAGGUCAAAUAACAACACUUGUUGUCACUAAAUGCAGAAAUUAAGCUUGUGUAACAUGGUGGGCAACUCUCAUUCAUUAUAAUAUAGAAGUAUCGCAGUUACUUCCCUUUGACUGCUGUGUUAUUAAUUGUAGUUUAAUUUACUUGUAUUUUCAACAAACUAGUCAUAACUGGUUAUAAUGUAAGGUAAUGUAAUAACUACGGGUUGUCAAAUUUCAAUAAUUUAGAUACAAUUUUAAAUGUUUUUAUUAGAGUGGCGUAUUGUAAUAAUAAACUUAAGCUGUUUGGUGAAUUUGAAUUAUGUAUUACUGGUAUGAAAUGUAUAUAUUAUAUACUUGCUUUUUGCUGCUGUAUGGUUGUUAUGCAAAUUCAUUAAGAAUUGAUGUUUAAGUGGGAUAUUGGAGAGAUUUAAUACUUUGUUUUAUUGUAUUAAAUGCGGUAAUACGAAAA